rnacentral:rRNA from 1 species
GGGGAGGCAGCAGUAAGGAAUAUUGGUCAAUGGACGCAAGUCUGAACCAGCCAUGCCGCGUGGAGGAUGAAGGUCCUCUGGAUUGUAAACUUCUUUUAUCUGGGAAGAAAUGUAUUUUUUCUAAAGUACUUGACGGUACCAGAUGAAUAAGCACCGGCUAACUCCGUGCCAGCAGCCGCGGUAAUACGGAGGGUGCAAGCGUUAUCCGGAUUCACUGGGUUUAAAGGGUGCGUAGGCGGAUUUGUAAGUCCGUGGUGAAAUCUCCGAGCUUAACUCGGAAACUGCCAUGGAUACUAUAAGUCUUGAAUGUUGUGGAGGUUUGCGGAAUAUGUCAUGUAGCGGUGAAAUGCUUAGAUAUGACAUAGAACACCGAUUGCGAAGGCAGCAGGCUACACAAAUAUUGACGCUGAGGCACGAAAGCGUGGGGAUCAAACAGGAUUAGAUACCCUGGUAGUCCACGCCCUAAACGAUGAUUACUCGACAUUUGCGAUACACAGCAAGUGUCUGAGCGAAAGCAUUAAGUAAUCCACCUGGGAAAGUACGACCGCAAGGUUGAAACUCAAAGGAAUUU